UACGUAGGGUGCGAGCGUUAAUCGGAAUUACUGGGCGUAAAGCGUGCGCAGGCGGUUCUGUAAGACCGAUGUGAAAUCCCCGGGCUUAACCUGGGAACUGCAUUGGUGACUGCAGGGCUAGAGUGUGUCAGAGGGAGGUGGAAUUCCGCGUGUAGCAGUGAAAUGCGUAGAGAUGCGGAGGAACACCGAUGGCGAAGGCGGC
rnacentral:rRNA from 1 species